UACGUAGGGUCCGAGCGUUGUCCGGAAUUAUUGGGCGUAAAGAGCUCGUAGGCGGUUUGUCGCGUCUGCUGUGAAAUCCCGAGGCUCAACCUCGGGUCUGCAGUGGGUACGGGCAGACUGGAGUGCGGUAGGGGAGAAUGGAAUUCCUGGUGUAGCGGUGGAAUGCGCAGAUAUCAGGAGGAACACCGAUGGCGAAGGCAGUUUUCUGGGCCGUAACUGACGCUGAGGUACGAAAGCUAGGGUAGCGAACGGG
rnacentral:rRNA from 1 species